rnacentral:rRNA from 1 species
AGCGGAGGAAAAGAAACUAACAAGGAUUCCCCUAGUAGCGGCGAGCGAAGCGGGAAGAGCUCAAAUUUAUAAUCUGGCACCUUCGGUGUCCGAGUUGUAAUCUCUAGAAAUGUUUUCCGCGUUGGACCGCACACAAGUCUGUUGGAAUACAGCGGCAUAGUGGUGAGACCCCCGUAUAUGGUGCGGACGCCCAGCGCUUUGUGAUACAUUUUCGAAGAGUCGAGUUGUUUGGGAAUGCAGCUCAAAUUGGGUGGUAAAUUCCAUCUAAAGCUAAAUAUUGGCGAGAGACCGAUAGCGAACAAGUACCGUGAGGGAAAGAUGAAAAGCACUUUGGAAAGAGAGUUAACAGUACGUGAAAUUGUUGGAAGGGAAACGCUUGAAGUCAGACUUGCUUGCCGAGCAAUCGGUUUGCAGGCCAGCAUCAGUUUUCCGGGAUGGAUAAUGGUAGAGAGAAGGUAGCAGUUUCGGCUGUGUUAUAGCUCUCUGCUGGAUACAUCUUGGGGGACUGAGGAACGCAGUGUGCCUUUGGCGGGGGUUUCGACCUCUCACACUUAGGAUGCUGGUGGAAUGGCUUUAAACGACCCGUCUUGAAACACGGAC